rnacentral:rRNA from 1 species
CAGCAGCCACGGUAAUACGUAGGUGGCAAGCGUUGUCCGGAAUUAUUGGGCGUAAAGGGCUCGCGGGCGGUUUCUUAAGUCUGAUGUGAAAGCCCCCGGCUCAACCGGGGAGGGUCAUUGGAAACUGGGAAACUUGAGUGCAGAAGAGAAGAGUGGAAUUCCACGUGUAGCGGUGAAAUGCGUAGAGAUGUGGAGGAACACCAGUGGCGAAGGCGACUCUCUGGUCUGUAACUGACGCUGAGGAGCGAAAGCGUGGGGAGCGAACAGGAUUAGAUACCCCAGUAGUCCCUGUCUCUUAUAC